rnacentral:rRNA from 1 species
GAUGAACGCUGGCGGUGUGCCUAAUACAUGCAAGUCGAGCGAACAGAUGAGGAGCUUGCUCCUCUGACGUUAGCGGCGGACGGGUGAGUAACACGUGGAUAACCUACCUAUAAGACUGGGAUAACUUCGGGAAACCGGAGCUAAUACCGGAUAAUAUAUUGAACCGCAUGGUUCAAUAGUGAAAGACGGUUUUGCUGUCACUUAUAGAUGGAUCCGCGCCGCAUUAGCUAGUUGGUAAGGUAACGGCUUACCAAGGCAACGAUGCGUAGCCGACCUGAGAGGGUGAUCGGCCACACUGGAACUGAGACACGGUCCAGACUCCUACGGGAGGCAGCAGUAGGGAAUCUUCCGCAAUGGGCGAAAGCCUGACGGAGCAACGCCGCGUGAGUGAUGAAGGUCUUCGGAUCGUAAAACUCUGUUAUUAGGGAAGAACAAAUGUGUAAGUAACUAUGCACGUCUUGACGGUACCUAAUCAGAAAGCCACGGCUAACUACGU